GAUACAGGGUGACAGCCCCGUACACAAAAAUGCACAUGCUGUGAGCUCGAUGAGUAGGGCGGGACACGUGGUAUCCUGUCUGAAUAUGGGGGGACCAUCCUCCAAGGCUAAAUACUCCUGACUGACCGAUAGUGAACCAGUACCGUGAGGGAAAGGCGAAAAGAACCCCGGCGAGGGGAGUGAAAAAGAACCUGAAACCGUGUACGUACAAGCAGUGGGAGCACAGAGCAAUCUGUGUGACUGCGUACCUUUUGUAUAAUGGGUCAGCGACUUAUAUUCUGUAGCAAGGUUAACCGAAUAGGGGAGCCGAAGGGAAACCGAGUCUUAACUGGGCGUUAAGUUGCAGGGUAUAGACCCGAAACCCGGUGAUCUAGCCAUGGGCAGGUUGAAGGUUGGGUAACACUAACUGGAGGACCGAACCGACUAAUGUUGAAAAAUUAGCGGAUGACUUGUGGCUGGGGGUGAAAGGCCAAUCAAACCGGGAGAUAGCUGGUUCUCCCCGAAAGCUAUUUAGGUAGCGCCUCGUGAAUUCAUCUCCGGGGGUAGAGCACUGUUUCGGCAAGGGGGUCAUCCCGACUUACCAACCCGAUGCAAACUGCGAAUACCGGAGAAUGUUAUCACGGGAGACACACGGCGGGUGCUAACGUCCGUCGUGAAGAGGGAAACAACCCAGACCGCCAGCUAAGGUCCCAAAGUCAUGGUUAAGUGGGAAACGAUGUGGGAAGGCCCAGACAGCCAGGAUGUUGGCUUAGAAGCAGCCAUCAUUUAAAGAAAGCGUAAUAGCUCACUGGUCGAGUCGGCCUGCGCGGAAGAUGUAACGGGGCUAAACCAUGCACCGAAGCUGCGGCAGCGACACUGUGUGUUGUUGGGUAGGGGAGCGU
rnacentral:rRNA from 1 species